GAUGAACGCUGGCGGCGUGCCUAACACAUGCAAGUCGGACGGUGGUGACCUUUCGGGGUGACCACAGUGGCGCACGGGUGAGGAACACGUAGCUGACCUGCCCUGGAGCGCGGGAUAACCCUGGGAAACGAGGGCUAAGACCGCCUACGCUCGCGCGCUGUAGAGGCGCGCGAGGAAAACCGUAAGGUGCUCUGGGAGGGGGCUGCGGCCCAUCAGGUAGUUGGUGGGGUAAGAGCCUACCAAGCCGACGACGGGUCGGGGGUCUGAGAGGAUGAUCCCCCACACUGGGACUGAGACACGGCCCAGACUCCUACGGGAGGCAGCAGUGAGGAAUCUUGCACAA
rnacentral:rRNA from 1 species